GCAAACUUGGUCAUUUAGAGGAAGUAAAAGUCGUAACAAGGUUUCCGUAGGUGAACCUGCGGAAGGAUCAUUAUUGAAUAACUUGCCUUGAUGGGUUGUAGCUGGCCUCUUGAGGCAUGUGCACGCCUGUCUUGACUCUAUUCAUCCACCUGUGCACCUUUUGUAGUUCAUCACUCUCUGUGGUAUAAAGCUUGUAUUCAGUUGAAAUACACUGGAUUUGAGGAUUGCCUUUAUGGCUUUUCUCUUGCCGGGCCUACCCUCAGGAUGAGGACUAUGUACUUUAUCAUAAACCAUGUAGUAUGUUGCCAGAAUGUAUUCAAUGGGCCUUCGUGCCUAUAAAACCUUAUACAACUUUCAGCAACGGAUCUCUUGGCUCUCGCAUCGAUGAAGAACGCAGC
rnacentral:misc_RNA from 1 species